rnacentral:rRNA from 1 species
UACGAAGGGGGCUAGCGUUGCUCGGAAUCACUGGGCGUAAAGCGCACGUAGGCGGAUUGUUAAGUCAGGGGUGAAAUCCUGGAGCUCAACUCCAGAACUGCCUUUGAUACUGGCGAUCUCGAGUCCGGGAGAGGUGAGUGGAACUGCGAGUGUAGAGGUGAAAUUCGUAGAUAUUCGGAAGAACACCAGUGGCGAAGGCGGCUCACUGGCUCGAUACUGACGCUGAGGUGCGAAAGCGUGGGGAGCGAACAGGA